GGCUGUGGUUGGUUUCUAAUGCACUGCCUUUACAGUUCUGGGACCUGCUUUUAAAACACUCCCAUCACAGGAUAAAACUUGUCUUGGAGGACUACAAGGAGAUCUUUGAGGCUUUGCCAUUCCCAGACAAGCAGAGAAUUACCGAUAUCUUUGAUACCAUCCCCAUGACUGUCGCUGGUGUGGUGGGUUACCUGGAGUCAUCUUCUCCAUAUCAAACCUUUAUGAAGAGUGACCCUGAAGCCGCGAAAUCCCUUCUCCAAGAGGCAGAAAAGAGGAUGCUGGAGGUGAUGGGAGUUUCUUCUCGUGAGACCCCAGUGGAGCUCUGGGUGAGGCACGUCUGUGUGCUGGGAUGCAAGGCACAGUGAGAGGAAGCCUGUCCCCUGAGCUGUGCUGCAAGGAAGGAAGGCAACAGUGGGUUAUCUCCUAAUAGCCCACUUGGUGCCACUCUUAUUCCUUGGGAAGAUUAAUCUGGGGGCUUAAGGUUUGGAUGUGUGGGAAGCAGACAAGGGCUUAUGGCAGCUCUUGGGCUCCUGUCCAGCUUGGUCCUGCAGUCUCCCAGGGCUGCAUGGGCAGGGUCCUGUUCCAGACUGGUGCUUGGGCUGCACGUGCGGAUGAGAAUCACUGGUACAGCUGAGAAACUUC